GGAAUCGAUGAUUCGGCCUGUGGGCCGGGUCACUGCGGCGGGGCCCGGGGAGCGCCGAUAGCAUGGAUAGGCUCAGAGGGGCGCAGGGUUUUGGCGGCUUCCCGAGUUCCCCUCGCCGACCGCCAUGUCACAUCUUACGGAAGAGGCGGGGGCUGCCGCGGAGAGGAUAUUUUUUGUUUUGUUUUGUUUUCACAAGAAUCACCUGGAUGCUUCUAAAGAGGAUGUCUACCAGACCCCAUGCCGCACUAAUUAGCUCAGAAGUGGGAACCCUUCUGUGGAAUGCAUCAGUUAAAAUCUCAAGAAACCCCGAGGCAGAGGAUUAAGAGAUACUGAAGAGAAGAUGAGUCUGUGUGCAUUUAUCUGUGCUUAGCCUGCUCCGAAUGGGAACUCAGCUCUCAAAUGAAGGCUAGCUCCAUGUUUUGUUCACGUGACUCUCAACCUGGUGUGGCCUGGACUCUAGUCCCUGCCUCAAGGAAAGUCCAGACUGACAUAGAAAAUCCCUGCUCACCAGCCUUGACCUUGGGAGAAAGCCCCUGACCUGUGAGUGGACAGAAGGCCUGGUGGUCAGCCCGUGGGAGCCCUGGAGCGUGCACUGCUGGAGCAGCUCAGAAAAAGCUGAGAAGCCAAGACUUGACUGUCAGUCCUGGAGAAUUAGAACAUGCCUGCUAAAUUUCAGUCCACUCUGAGGAAGGGGCAGUGCCCACAAGGAAACCUAGUGGGUGGGGUUCUGGCUGGGACUCAUCUGGAGUUCCCAGGGCAGAUGCCCGGCCCCAGCUUAUAGACCAUGAUGCGGCUGGGCUUCCGUGUCUGAUUCUUAAGUGCCUCAGGUAAACAGACUCUCCUUUGCUUUGCCAGGAGGAAUGACAUUACUAUCAGCAUUG
rnacentral:lncRNA from 1 species